UUCACUGUCAGUGUGCUUAAAAAUAAUCGCAUCAAAACGUGUGUCGUGCGUGAAUUGUGUAUAAGUAACGUAAUUAUUUCUAAAUUAUAAGAAUCCCUGAAAAAAUUGAAACAAAAAAAUUAGUGGUCUUGAUAGACUGAAAUAUUUGUGUUGUUUGCUUUAAAGUGUAAAUUUUCUUGCAAAAAUGAUUUUUUACACCACUUUAAAAUAUUUGCAGUAAGUGUGAAAAUCAGAUCACCUUUCUGAGAUGAUCGAGUAACUACACCUAUGCUAAAUUCAGAAAGUACCUCUACCAACCCACCUACCUGCUUCUGCUUUGCAAAUUUUAUGAAACUUCCAGUUACCCCUCGUACAUCUUGAGGAGCCAAAAAUGGAGGAAAAAAUGAAGCCAAAUUGCUCCGCAGCAGAAUUGACCUAUUUUGCUUUCAGCAAUCAACAGAUAUGUGGCUACUCGAACAUUUUCUUUUGCUUGACUGGAACCGUGUUCAAUUCACUGGUCGUUGUGGUAUACACCAGGAAAAAUAUGAUAUCACCAAUGAAUACGAUAUUCACGCAUGUAGCAAUAGUAGAUGUAUUGGUGUUGGUUUCGUGGCUUCCGCAUACGUGGCAUCAUUUAAUUCGAUCCAAUUUAUACUCGAUUAAAGAACACAGGACGAAAUUUUGGGAAACUGUUUCUCAUACUUCUUUGCACAUAACAGCGGUAUUUAUGUACGCAUCGAUGUCAUUUUCCCUCGUUAUGGCUUUAUGGCGUUAUAUAGCCAUUUUACAUCCUCUGAAAGAACGUCGUUGGUGCAGUAUGAAGAGUACAAAAAUCGCAAUAUUUCUAUGCUACAUGAUGGGUUUUCUAAUUAUACUUCCUUCUUAUUUAUGGUCCGAUGUUUUACCGCUGUACAAGAUACUCAAUCGUGAUGGAUUUCUCGCAUCCAGUUGUCACACGGGUAAUCGCACAAUGAUUUAUGGAUCGGUGAUCAAACUUCCAGGUGUAUGGUACCAAGCGCAUUUAUUGUUUUAUGGGGUGAUUGCCAAGAUAGCACCUUCUGUUGUUCUCAGCAUAAUCAUUUGCAGAAUAAUCAUUGCUUUACACAAGGCGAAAAAAUGCCACCGAAAGAUGACAGAAACUUCGACUACAUGUCCCAGUAGACCUAAUAAUAAUUCACAUCAUACCGAGAGAGAACGUCAAACGAAUCGAAUAACCACAAUUUUAUUGAUAUUAUUGGGAUUAUUCAUUAUUGGAGAACUUCCUCAUGGGCUAGGCUGCUUAUUAUCGGUGGUAUUGGGUAAAGAAUUUUACGCCAAAUAUUACUAUCCUUCCAUGCAGAUAUUCAAUAGCAUCCGAAUGUUUUGCACGAGUAUUCAUUUUCUUGUUUAUUACACUUUGAGUAAACAAUUUAGGGACACUUUUAAAGCACUUCUUAGCGGGAAACCUUUCCCAAUUUAUCGGACAAGUACAUCUGGGACGAGCAAUACUGUCUUAACUGGCAGUCAAUUGAAUAAAUAAGCAGGGAUUUGUGCUACGGAUUAUCAAUCAUGGUUCUAUGCCUGGUGAGUGGUGAUGAAUGAUAACCUACCUAUACAUAUAAUAGGCAUAUCAAACUCGUAUGCACAACCUUGGAUUUGGAAACUUUAACAUUACGCACUUUGUCAAUUAAAUGAACGCUUGAGUUUAGACCUACCUACCUUUACUUAUAAUUAUUAUUGAAGUCAAUUUUACUUUCUGGUUCACCACUUCGACAUAGGCUAUUAAACUUCCAAGAAGUCCACGCGAUGUAUCCUUUCAAGUCUUGAUCAUUUCCUCCAACUUGGCAUUGGAUGAAAAUAUACUGAAAUGGUAGGUAUAGCAUGGAUUAUAUGGACUUGGACUGUGCUGGUGGUUAUGCAGAUUGAAAUUGUGGAAAAGAGGGAUGUCCUAGAGUACCUAUCUAAUCACCUAUUUAUAUGUAACUCGGUGUACCUAUAUAGGGAUAACGGCCCCCUUUUUUAUAUUUCUUGGAAUUUCUUUUAUUUCUUAACAAGGUACCUAAGUAAGUAGGUAGUUGUAGGUUUGUAAAAACUUCAAUUUGAUUAGGUUUUUUCGAAAUAAAUUAUUUAUUACAAAAAAAUAAGUUUGAUAUUUUUUUUACCCCCGUUUUCUAAUUUUUCUACCCCUUUGCCAAUUUUUACCUUCUUCCUAUUUUUUGCGAUGUUAUGAAUGGUAACAACAUAAUUCAAAGUUUUCUCAAGCAUUAGCAUUGGUGUAUUCAUUGCUUGAAAAAGAUUGAAAAAUUAAAUUGAGAGUUUAUAAAUGUGACCUGGUCUGAUGAAAGGGACCACAAGUCGGAAUUUUGUUUUUACAGGGAAGCCAAAAAUAGGAAAAUAAGUCGACAUUUUGAAAAAUCGUUUUUUCGCGGAUUUCGGUUGUUUGACAUAAUAUGAACUAUCAUGUGACAAAGCCACGUAAUUUGGCCGAAAAGUGUGUUAAAAACGCAUUUGAAGUUAGCAUAUUAUGACGAGGACUCGAAAAAGGGGCCAUAAGUCGCUUCUGUCGCUUUCUGUAUUUCUAUGUUUUCAACGAGUGGCUAUCAUCCAAGUUUGAUAUUCUUUAAAACAAAUUUUUGGUCAGUUUUCCUGUUUUCCUCUUUAAAUGCGUUUUUCUCAAAAACUUGUUUUUCAAUCCAGCGAUUUAAAAAAAUGAAAAAAGAUAGAAAUAUAUGAUAUAGGAGGCUGGGAUUGGUCUCAUUGGGCUCCUUAUGUUGUCUAGUUUUCAAAAUGGUCAAAAAAUCGAAAAUUGAAAAUCCGACUUGUGACCCCUAGUCUCAGACCAGGUCACAGAUUAUCUGCUCGAAUUUUCAUCAAAAAAAUUCAAUAGACGCGUUUUCAGGCUUCAAAAUUCCAGCACCACCAAAUGAACACGUUUUUCCAAAAAAUACUAGUACCAAUUUUCUGGAAACGUUUUCCUGACGAAAUUGGUCAAAAUUUGUCGUUAAAGUUCUUGCUCUGAUCUGUAUUUAAGCGGAAUCAAAUCAUUUAUUCAAUUUUUUGGACGAUUGUUAAUAUUAAAUGUACACAAUUAAUCUGUAGCAAUAAGUAGUGUUUUUUGGACCCCAUUACUUACAACAGUUCAAGGCGGUACAUUCAAAUACUUCCUCAAAAAUAAAUAAUAUUUAUUAUCACACCUUUGAACAGUUGUCAGCGACCUAAUAAGGGGGGGGGGGAGUGAAAAAAAAUAGAGAACGAAAAUUGAAUAUAGAAAACUGAGAUCGAGUAGUUCUUUAUUUUUUUACCCCCAUUUAAAAUUUUUACCAAACAAUUCUGAUGAAAAAUAACUAACAUAUCUAUCGGCCAUGAGUGUGUUGUGUAGAAUUCGAUGAUGUGCCCAAAACUCAUUUUGAUAGAAUUUGGCGUGUCCAGACCAGUCCUUAAAACCAAAACACACUUUUGAAAUUUUUUAAAAGGAUACCUAUCGAUUGAAAUUCGUAAUCACAUUUUUCAAAGUUUCCUGAACCAUGAACAUUGAUUGGAAAAUGAAACUUUUCAAGGCCAUCGUAUUCCAGAAGAAGCAUAAAACAUAGGUAUUAUUAAUGCCUUUAUGGUUUUCAAAUCAAUUUAUGACUUUGCGGUGGCUUAUUUUUCAAAAAAUUCUGGGGAGGGGGUACAAAACUGGGUCGGUACCCCUACUUAUUGAGUUUUUUUUUUUUAUUGUCGAUGCUUCAUUUUUGAAAUAAGCGCUAAAUAUGUGCUUAAUUUAAUUACGUAAUUUAAUUUUUUAGCAUGGUACCUCUACCUAAUAAAAUUAAAAUGUGAUUUUUUCUUGAUUUUUUAAAACUAAUAUCUACUAUGUACCUACAACUAAAGAAUGCGACCAUGAAUUGAUGAAUUGAAUCAAUGUAAUCUCUAAAAGGAUACCUGAGGAGUGAGGAUAUUAUUUUUUGAGUAGAAGAGGAAGCCAGACUUUACCACUUAUAAUCAACACAUUUUGUAUCAUAUACAUUUUUUUUAAAAAAAGUUUGAAUAAUGUGAAAAAAAAUCAAACUGAAUCUUUUCAUCAGAUAAGUAGGUAGUUACCAGAUUAGGUUAGGUAAUAGGUACCUACUCAUUAUAGGUAGUUGAUGAAAAUUCUAAGAAUUUCAAAAUAGAUGUGGCAGAGGUGAAGUGGUAUCGUAGAUGCAAACAACUCGUAUAAGAUACCGGUUUUCAUCAAUUAUUACCUUCAUCUAUUUGUAGCAUAUAGGUAAAGAUAUUAGUGAAUUUCAUUCAGUGCACUUGAAAAAGUAAUCAAGCCAAAACGCGUGUUGUGUUAAUAGUUCUGUAAAACGUAGGUAAUUAAAAUCAGGUUCAAGUUAUCUAUUUAAAUGAUGAUGUGCUCAAGUUUUUAAAAGAUUAUUUAUACAUCCAUAGUCAUUUUUUAAAAUUGUCGUGUACAGUCCAUCUUGGUAGAUAAUUAUUUCACCUCUAUAUUUACCUUACCUAUUUUUGAAACCUCUGAAAAAAAAGAAACAAAAAAUCAGUGAUCUCGAUGUACUGAAAUACCUAGCUUUGGAAUUAAAAUUUGUCGAAAAUGAUUUUUCUUUGCACAAUUUUAAAACACUGCAGUUGACAACCAAGAAAAGUGGUGCAUAGUUCUUAUCUUUUUGAUAAGAGGAAGUACGAGUAAAAACAAUAUACUUCAGACCUCACAUCACUGGAGAAAAAAAUCUGAAAGAUGUAAUCCUGUUCCUGCCAACUGACGAAACUGACGAAUAUUAAAAGGAGAAAAAAAUGAAUCAAGGAAUGAAACCAAAUUGCUCCGCUAUUGAAUUAUAUUAUUUCGAUUUCAGCGAUCAACAGAUAUGCGGUUAUUCGAAUAUUUUCUUCUGCGUGAUUGGAACCUUCUUCAACGUAUUAGUUAUACUGGUGUAUACCCAAAAACAUAUGAUUUCACCGAUGAAUACAAUGUUCACCCAUGUAGCAAUAGUAGAUACAUUGGGUAUGAUAUCGUGGCUUCCGCAUACAUGGCAUCAUCUAAUUAGAUCGAAUUUAUAUUCGGUUAAAGAACACAGGACGAAACUUUGGGAAACGAUUUCUCGAGAUUAUUUACACGUGACAAGUGUAUUUAUCUUCACAUCGAUGAUGCUGGCCCUCGCGAUGGCUUUAUGGCGUUAUAUAGCCAUUUUACAUCCUUUGAAGGAACGUAGUUGGUGCAAUAUGAAGAGUACAAGAAUUGCAAUCUUCGUAUGCUACCUGGUGGGAUUCUUGAUUACACUUCCUUCUUAUUUGACUACCGGUGUUGUGGGAGUUUACAAAGUACUCGAUAAUGAUGGAUUUAUGGCGACCAGUUGUAAUGGUGGUAAUCGCACCUUAGUCUAUGGAAAUACGAUUACGCUACGUGGUUUUUGGUAUCAAGUUGAUUUCUUGUUUUAUGGCCUGAUUGUGAAGACAGCGCCUUCUGUUUUUCUCACCUUUAUGAUUUACAGAAUAAUCGCUGCGUUGCACAGAGCGAAAAAAUGCCACCGAGAUAUGACUGAAAGUUCGACCAGAAGUUCCAGCGGACUCAAUCCACAGCAGAGUGAAAGAGAACGUCAAACAAAUAGAAUAACAACAAUUUUACUGAUACUAUUAACAUUAUUUAUCAUCGGAGAACUUCCUCAUGGGAUAGGUUGCUCACUCGUGGUGAUCUUGGGUAACAAAUUCCUAGUCAAAUAUUAUUAUCCUUCAGCCCAAGUAUUCAACAGCAUCAGAAUAUUUUGCACGAGUAUUCAUUUUCUAGUUUAUUAUUCGCUAAGCGAACAAUUCAGGAUUACUUUGAAGACGCUUUUUAAACGAAAAAUAUCUCCAGAUUAUCGGACGAGUUUAUCUGGGAUGUCGAGUAAUACUGUCUUGACCAGCAGUUAGUUCAAUAAAAAUGUACCUACGAGUACCUACCUAAAAAUCUUAAAAUGAAUUUUUUUCUUGAAAGUUUUAAUCUUUCAGGGUUUAGAAUGCUCUUUUUGAGCAUUUAGAUACCUAUAUGAAGUUCCUCGGCUGUCUUUUCAAGGAUAAUUUUUGAUUUUAUAAGUAUGGAAGCAUUUUAUCAACGUUAAAAUCACCUAAUACCUACCUAUCUACUAAAUUUUGAAUUUAGAGAAUGUCUUUAAAAAAAAUUAAAGUUUUGUUUAAAAUCCAA